GUGCCUAUAGUUUAAUGGCAAAACUCCAGGUUGUGGACCUGGUAUCGAGGGUUCAAUUCCCUCUAGGCACC
rnacentral:tRNA from 1 species